rnacentral:rRNA from 1 species
CGGCGGACGGGUGAGUAACGCGUGGGGAACCUGCCCUUAAGUUCGGGAUACCAACUCGAAAGGGUUGUUAAUACCGGAUGUGCUGCAUUAGCCGCAUGGCGGAUGUAGUAAAGGGGAGACCCGCUUAAGGAUGGCCCUGCGUUCCAUUAGCUAGUUGGUGGGGUAACGGCCUACCAAGGCGACGAUGGAUAGCCGGCCUGAGAGGGCGACCGGCCACACUGGGACUGAGACACGGCCCAGACUCCUACGGGGGGCAGCAGUGGGGAAUCUUGCACAAUGGGCGGAAGCCUGAUGCAGCGACGCCGCGUGAGGGACGAAGGUCUUCGGAUCGUAAACCUCUGUCCAAAGGGACGAAGGAGUGACGGUACCUUUGGAGGAAGCCCCGGCCAACUACGUGCCAGCAGCCGCGGUAAGACUUAGGGGGCGAGCGUUUGCCGGAAUCAUUGGGCGUA